AACGAACGCUGGCGGCAGGCUUAACACAUGCUAGUCGAGCGCCCCGCAAGGGGAGCGGCAGACGGGUGAGUAACGCGUGGGAAUCUACCCAUCUCUACGGAAUAACGCAUGGAAACGUGUGCUAAUACCGUAUACGUCCUUCGGGAGAAAGAUUUAUCGGAGAUGGAUGAGCCCGCGUUGGAUUAGCUAGUUGGUGGGGUAAAGGCCUAUCAAGGCGACGAUCCAUAGCUGGUCUGAGAGGAUGAUCAGCCACACUGGGACUGAGACACGGCCCAGACUCCUACGGGAGGCAGCAGUGGGGAAUAUUGGACAAUGGGCGCAAGCCUGAUCCGGCCAUGCCGCGUGAGUGAUGAAGGCCCUAGGGUUGUAAAGCUCUUUCACCGGUGAAGAUAAUGACGGUAACCGGAGAAGAAGCCCCGGCUAACUUCGUGCCAGCCGCCGCCGUAAAAC
rnacentral:rRNA from 1 species